AUCGAACGCUGGCGGCAGGCCUAACACAUGCAAGUCGAACGAGUGGCGGACGGGUGAGUAAUGUCUGGGAAACUGCCUGAUGGAGGGGGAUAACCACUGGAAACGGUAGCUAAUACCGCAUACCAUCGGAGGUGCCCAGAUGGGAUUAGCUAGUAGGUGGGGUAAAGGUUCACCUGGGCGACGAUCCCUAGUCGGUCUGAGAGGAUGACCAGCCACACUGGAACUGAGACACGGUCCAGACGCCUACGAGAGGCAGCAGUGGGAAAUAUUGCACAAUGGGCGCAAGCCUGAUGCAGCCAUGCCGGCUGUAUGAAGAAGGCCUUCGGGUUUUAAAGUACUUUCAGCGGGUAGGCGUUACCCGCAGAAGAAGCGCCGGCUAACUCCGUGCCAGCCGCCGCGGUAAUUC
rnacentral:rRNA from 1 species